UUCCCUUAUCUGGCCUUGGUGCCGGCUUGUCUCCGCUGUGGCCACCAAUCAUCAACGACGAAGACUGCCGCCUUCGGUGGCUUGAGACCCCAAAAAAACUUUAUUUUUAUCCCUAUUUUUUGCGGAAACCGAAUUUGGGGUCAAAAUCCCUAGGAUCUGGUCAACGCUCAAUAACAAAAAAGAAGACUUUUCGGCUUUUAUCCUUUUUCGGCGUGGCUGUAGGCGAACCCCGAGGGAUUCGGCAGCCUUCAAGGCCAAAAGGACCACCGACAAUGGCGACGCAUGUGAAAGCUUGAGUCUUUUGUAUUUAUAUAUAUGUUUCGAAAUAAAUAAAAAUAAAAAUGAGAAUACCUUCUUUCUUUUUUUUAAGCACUUGUAGUUUUUUGCUUUCUUGUAUUCUAUUUUUUGAUUUUCUGUAUUGAAAAAUUUACAUGGCUGUUGUGGCUUUUAUAGCUGAAUGUGUUAUAUUAUACUACUAUUUUUCUUUUUUCUUUUUUGUCGUUCUUUGCGUGUUGUGUUUCUAUCCUUUUGUUUUUUUCUUUUUUGCAGGUUUCCAUGGCAAGGUCAACUGUGUUGGGGAGUUGCACCUUGCCAUUUCGGUGAAAGAGGCAGAUAAGGCGUCAAACCUUGGGACGUGAGCAUGCCGACGUGGUGGGAGAGCGGCGCUAGAGGCCUUAGGAAAUCUAGGGUUUCUAUUAUUUUUUAUGUUUUGAGCCUUUUA
rnacentral:lncRNA from 1 species